CUGGGAAUCGUACGCAAUGGACGAAAGUCUGACGUCGCGACAUCGCGUGAAGGAUGAAGGCCUAAGGGUCGUAAACUUCUUUUGCCAUGAGUGAGAGCUCAUGGCGAAUAAGCGCCCGCUAACCUCGUGCCAGCAGCUGCGGUAAUACGAGGGGCGCAAGCGUUGCCCGGAUUUACUGGGCGUAAAGCGUUUCGUAGGCGCAUGUGUAAGUUGUGCUUUAAAGACCGGGGCUCAACCUCGGAAAGGGGCGCAAUACUGCACAUGUUGAGUUAUUUCGGGGCUACUGGAACUAUCGGUGUAGGGGUGAAAUCCGUUGAUAUCGAUAGGAACUCCAAGGGCGUAGGCAGGUAGCUAGGGAUUAACUGACGCUGAGGAACGACAGCUAGGGGAGCGAAAGGGAUUAGAGACCCCUGUAGUCCUAGCCGUAAACUAUGCUCGCUAGUCUAUCCCUUUUUGGGGUGGACGUAAGCUAACGCGUGAAGCGAGCCGCCU
rnacentral:rRNA from 1 species